rnacentral:misc_RNA from 1 species
AAGUCGUAACAAGGUAACCGUAGGUGAACCUGCGGUUGGAUCAUUAAAAAAUGUGUUUUGAUGGAGUGGCCCUGAGCAACGUAGUGGUUCCCCGUUAAAGAUUUUUUUUUAAAAUUUCUACUGGGAGCGCUCAACAGCUUUUGUUCACUCUAAUCAUCAACCCACACUGUGAACCGUUUUUGUAUUUUUGGAUGCUUGUUUUGAGGUGGGACCUCUUGUAAUAGAUUGACCUAAUCCGUUGAUCUUCCAUCCAGCAGGCCUUUACUGGCCCCCGUAAACAUUUUGUAAUCAAUUCUGGUCUUAAAAAUUCUUUUUUUAUUAAUUUAAAAAAAAACCAAAACAACUUUUGACAACGGAUCUCUAGGCUCUC